rnacentral:misc_RNA from 1 species
UUUCCGUAGGUGAACCUGCGGAAGGAUCAUUCAUAAUAAGUGUUUUAUGGCACUUUUUUAAAUCCAUAUCCACCUUGUGUGCAAUGUCAGGGUUGGUCUCUUUUGAGCAGCCCCAAACAUCAACUAUUAUCUCAACUCUUUGUCUGAAAAAUAUUAUGAAUAAAACAAUUCAAAAUACAACUUUCAACAACGGAUCUCUUGGCUUUC